CAACUUUCAGCAACGGAUCUCUUGGCUCUCGCAUCGAUGAAGAACGCAGCGAAAUGCGAUAAGUAAUGUGAAUUGCAGAAUUCAGUGAAUCAUCGAAUCUUUGAACGCACCUUGCGCUCCUUGGUAKUCCGAGGAGCAUGCCUGUUUGAGUGUCAUUA
rnacentral:rRNA from 1 species